UACGUAGGGUGCAAGCGUUGUCCGGAAUUAUUGGGCGUAAAGAGCUCGUAGGCGGUUUGUUGCGUCGGCUGUGAAAUCCCGAGGCUCAACCUCGGGUCUGCAGUCGAUACGAGCAAACUAGAGUGUUGCAGGGGAGACUGGAAUUCCUGGUGUAGCGGUGAAAUGCGCAGAUAUCAGGGAGGAACACCGGUGGCGAAAGGCGGGUCUCUGGGCAACAACUGACGCUGGAGGAGCGA
rnacentral:rRNA from 1 species